UGCAGGAGGGGCCAGCUGGGCCCUGGAAGGAGCGCGGGGACAGCGGCCCUUCGUCCUGCGCCGCCUCCCCACGGCCAGUCUUGCCAGCACGCGAGCCCCUCCGCACUCACCAGUCCCUCUUCCCCGGCGCCUUUGCGAGUCCUCCCGGCCGCCAGGGCUGUAGUCCGCCCGCACUCCUCUGACAUGAGCCCCUGACACUGCGGAGUAGGAGGGGGAGAAAGUAUGGAGAAACAGAUCAGAAGUUCCGAGCGUGCUGCCCGCCCCAGCCUCGGCGCGGGGAGCGAGCUAAUGAAGGCCCUCAGAGUGCGGGGCAGCGCGUGCAGCCGUCACGGCGCCUGAGCCCGGGCGCCGCGGGCGGGCUGGCGCGCAGCCUCCUUCGCUGGCCGCUGGCGGCCGCCACCCGAGCGCUGGUAGCUCGUCCCGCGCUCCCCGGGCUCCGGGUCUCCGGCGCUCACCCGGGCACGUCGGUUCCCCGCCCCCCCGCCGGGGAUAACAAGUUAAUAACAAUCAUCCCCUCACAAAGCUCUUUCUUUCCAGACGUCAAUCAUAGCGGAGCGGGGAACACCGGGCUAAAGGGGGUGCGGGGCAGUGGGAGGUGGAGUGCGAGAGAAGAAAAGAGGAUUGAGGAGGGGGUGGGAGAAGAAACUAGAUUUCUUUAAUAACCUCAAUUAAAAGAGCAAGACACAUAUAUAUUUUAAAAAGGGGGCUUUUUGAAUAGGAUAGCCCGAAAGGUGAAGAGGUUUAAUAGGAUACUUGAAAGCUAAUUACAGCGGGAUUUAAGAAGCCUGGUGUUUGUUCCGAUGACAAUUUGAAUGAAAAUGCUUCAGAUUAAACCGAGCCAGCAGCUCUUUCGUAAACUUACAGCAAUUAGAGUGGCGAGUGAUUUACACUCGUUUCUUUAAGGUGUAAAUUGCCACUUAUUGCUCAGUAAGUCAACAUUUGAGCUACUAAAGGAUUAUUUUUAACCAGCGCAAAAAGCGGGUAGAAUAAUGGAAAAUAUCCAGCUGAAUUUAAUUUGUGCCAUUAAAAGAACUCACCCAACCUCUGACAAAAUGUUUUAAAGAAACAACGCGCGUUACUCAAGUGUUUCCAAGUAUUUGCUGGAGUUUUGUUCUUAAACGAAAACGCAGCGUCCCUGGGCUUAGACCGCUUUCGUUUCCAAAAACUCUAGCUCGGGGGCGGGUGGGUACCCCGAACUCGAGCGGCUCGCACUUCUGCAUUUCUGACUGUUCGCCUCCCCUUCUCCCUCCCUCUGGAAGCACCAGGCAAGAUACCAACCUGGGGGCCUCCCGGACCGUCGGCCGAGACCCUCCCUUUCUGGGGUGCGCUCCCUACGCGGGACCCAGCGUAGCUGCACUGAGGCCGCGUCCUCACACACAAAGGGCGUUUAAACAGAACAGCUCCGCUUUCGCCUGGUGUCCCCAACCGGCUUCGGAGCAAAGAAAUAGUCAGGGGCGCCCCGCGCGCGUCCUGCUGAGGCCCUCAGACAGGCUGCAGAUGAUUUCAAACUUAAAACACCAAAUACCCACAGGUCCUGCCUCCCGAGUGAGGUGAGAGCUUGUCAGCUUCCCCAGUCUACUCAGACAAACCGCGUGACUCGUUUUGUGCCCUGCGGUUUUCUUUUGGCAUUUUAGGUAAAAUGGCUCUCCCGGCAAGCCCAGGGAUCCCGGAGGCCUUUCUGGAGCCCCGCAGAGGGAGGUGUGCCUCAGGGCAGGCAAGUGUCCGCGGGCAGCCGAACGAAACGAGCCAGGUCUCCGGUUCCACCCGACAGCCGCCCAGUCCUCCCGACCCACUCUCCCGGACCGCCACGAUCACCACAGCAAAUAGAACAAAAGCACGACUCACAUGGACCUGAGAGCGCCUUAGGCUCGAGGCUUCAUCUCCCAAAUUACAGUCUCCAUGUCUCAGGUUAAGUGAGCUUUUGGGGAGGGAGUGCAAUGAUUACUGACUAACGCUACUACGUAAUAAAAAAAAAAAAUUGCCAGGUCUGAAGAUGAGGCCGUUACAGGUAGUUUCUGAACCUUGUUUAGGAGCCCAAACAACUCGAGUUUCAAGGACACUGCGAUUCAGCUGGUCUGGCCAGGCGUCGGCUCGCUCACCUUCUCAGGGGGAACUGCCAGCUCCGGCACGUCCUUUGCUACUAGUUUACACACAAACAUCUGAUCGUUCUUCCAAUACAUGGCACUGCUAGGGCUGCUUAUCACAUACCAACUCCAGAGGGUCAGAGGCUGUCCGUGUCUGCCGAUCUCCCCCCUCCCCCGCCCCGAUCCACUAAUAAAAGCUGAUGCCGAGAAGGAUAAUGCUACAAGUGUGUCUUCGUCCAAAGAGGCCGCUGUGGCCUGACCACUUUCUGAUGAACCGUUCUUAAAAUUCCUUUCCCAGCUUCACUGAGCUCUGAGUGAAGUGAGCACUGAGCUUUUCCUGAGUCCCUCCAGGAAAAGAAAAAAAAAAAAGUUUUGUUUUCCAGAGGGUGGAACCUAAUAUAAAGGAAGGGGGCGUGUGGGGGAAAGUCUUUCCUGGAGAAAUUGCUUCGCCUCUUUCAGGAAAACCCGCCUUCUCUACAUGUUAAAAUCUUUAUCAGAACACGCCAACUGACUUCAGGUUUAGUACUAAAGAAAAAAAAAUUGGGGGAUGUCCUGUUAACUUGACUUUAAAAAAUCUGCUGUCUGCAUUUGCCAUAACUUUUAAAUUCUCGCUCCCCAACCCAAACCUAAACAAAGAUUCAGGUUACAUCUCUUUCUGCAGCAAGCAGAAGGGGAAGUGGAGGUCUGGGUGACUUGAAAGUUUUAGUCAUUCUCUUGAAACUCGCAGCUGUCCGGUGUAGCCGAGGAAUGCCACCGCUCCUGGCAGCCUGGGAGCUGACUUAUCUAGCAGUUCGCGCUCCCUUUCCGAAAAGUUUUCUCAUUAAGAUAAAGAAGGAACAUCUGAGCAACACAAAAGCUUAUGAUUUGCGACUAGAUUUGAAAUCAAGGCUACAAGAAAGACAAAAAGGUUUCUGGGCUUGGGGAAGAAGAAUGGUCGUCAGACAGGAGCAGAAGACGUGAAAGAUUGGUCUGGCCUCGCUUUACUCCAGGCGCCUUGUGGGAUGCUGACCUGUCCCGGGGUGCAGCUGCGCGCACCCCUCCUUGAGCUGUAAGCCUCUGGGCGGUGGAAAAGCAAUCGCCUGCGUCGUGACAGUUCCUACCUACUAAAUUGAAAAUUUGAAAAUCAGAGGCGGCAGGCCCACCCAAGGUGUCUACCAACAUCCGUGGACCACAGGGCUUUUUGCAAGCCCAUGGGAAAGACAGCCUGAGAGACUUCGGAGUGCGUCCUGUCCCAGGCUGUGCCUCUCCUGCUUAAGGGAAGCCUUGAGUGUAUCUCCCUAAAAACAGAUGGGGGCAGGGAAGGGGUCUAGAUCCCGUGGAGCCAGGCCUUGAUUGGAGGUCCGGGCUGGAGAGAGGGAACAUCAACCCGCCCUGACCCCCACAGCUUCCACUCACCCGAAGAGCUGCCUAAUUGGGCUGCGAGCAGCUGCGAAAUUUGUAAUCGUCUAAUGAGCCUUCCGCCUCGGUAAUUCUUAUCAAAAGGCAUAAAACUGAUAUUUUCACACUCAGCUCGCACUGCAGGCGCCGUUUAUAAACAUCCUUCAUCAGUGGGAUGAAAUUAAGCCUGCAUUGACAGAGGUCUCUGGAACUCGAUAUUUAAAAGCAAUAGAUCCGAAUUAGCAAAUUAUAACUUUAAGUAGGGAAAGUCCCCACCAACUUGACUAUUGAACCCUUUGCCUCUGAGCUCCUCGGGGUGAGUAACCACACGUUUGAGAGAACUUAACCUGGAGGUUCUGCGGUGCUCAGGCAAUCUCCGGAAACUCGGAUUCCCGAAACUGCCCCUGCUACGGCUCCUCCCGCCCGCCUUCUAGGGACUCGCCUGGGUCAGACCUGUGGAGAUCGGGGCGAGGCACAGCUGGAGCCUGAGAGAAAACGUGGUCAAAGGAGGCGCAUCCAGGACUCCCGGGCGGCCUGCAGGCGCAGAAACAGAGCCCUGCUCUUGCGGACCCGAGCUUUCCCUGGCCCGCGGCCCUCACCGCCCACCUCCAGGGCUCCAGCGCCAAGGGUACAGUGGGCCAUAGGACUGUAGGAGGCGGUGGAGGAUGGGGAGACUUUCGCGAUCAUAAGAAGGUGCGGAUUCUGGCAGAAUUCUGGUUGGCGACUCCUUCGAUCCCUGAAGGUGAAAUCUCAGCUAAAACCACUCUGAAACUGUGGAUGUCACACUUGGUUCAGGGUUAGGAGACCGUGUCUUUGGAUUUUUGCCCAUCACGUGUAACCAUUAUAAAUAUUAGUCUGGAAAAAGACUUUAGGAGAUUGCUUCUAGAGGUUCUUUCCACAAACUUACCCUGCUCAGAAUCUGCAUAACCCCUCAGAGAUGGCAGAGCUGUAUACGGGCUCACCUUGGGACUUACCGGUCCCAGACUCCGUUUUAUACCUUGCUACCCACAGUUUCUGAGGGUAAGAGAGGGGUGCUUUUAUUCACGCCAGUGGAGGUCGCCAAAAGCGGGCGAGGGCCUCCGUCUGGGACCCACUGGUCUCUCUCCCACUGUGGGCCAAGACUGAGGUUUGAUGGGCUUCCCAGCUGGGCAAGCCUGCUCCACGCGGGACACCCGGGAAUCCACUGGCGGGCAGACCCUGCCUUCGCCACCCGCCCCGCGGCAUUCCUCACUGCGGUCUGAUGCGCCAGCUGGGGCCAGUUGUUUCAAGCGGUUCUGGAGGACCAAUAGCGGAAAGCCAAGUUCUGCGACCAAGAGUCUGUACGAGUGACUCGGUGUUUCUUUCCAGCCGGUUCGCAGAGCGCCAGUAAGCUCUCCCGGUCCGCUACGGAAGAAAUAGGGGAAGCGUUUCCAGUCUAAGAGAGAGGAUGGGAGAGAGAAAAUUAGGAACCACGCCGAAAUUAAGCAGGGCAGCCUGGAAAGCUUCCCGGCUAAAAGCUAUGGCGCGAAACGCUAAAGUCCAUCACACCAUUUAUUCAUUGUGACAUUUCCAAGCCGACAAUAGCGCCUUAAGCACGCCUGUGGUUUGGAGGUGCCGGUUUUAUAUGCAUUUUACUGUUUAGAAUGAUAAACAAAUCAGGACCAAUGGAAACCUGAUUCUAACCUCUUUCUACAGAACUCUGCCUGCAUAAUUCUGUAAAAGCCGAAAUCCAAGGUGGCCAGAGAGAGAGAGAGAGAAUCCAACUCUCUACCCGCCUCCCUUUACCGCGUUUCCCUACAAGUCCUAGGCAAACCGGGCAGAUAUAGCCUGGAGUUCGCUGAUCAAGAAAGAGGAUGGAACCGAGGCCCUUCAGGCUUCUCCUCCCCUUCCACAUCCCCGUUUUCCCACUUCCCCAGGGAUGUCUGAAAGCCCAACUCGGCCAGUGUGGCAGGAAAGUUAAACUUUAUCUAAGUGCAAAAACCAGAUGGUUUUCUCGGUUUCUGGGGAUAGGUGAGAGGCAGAAGUGGGGCUGUGUGAGCCUCCUAUUCACAGGCUUGGAUGACAUUUUGAUAAGGGAACCCUCAGCUCAAGUUGUUAGCCAGGGUGAAUGAGCCCCACACAAGCCUGCGCCGACCGCCCACAACUUUGGUGUCUAAGGUUCUCCCCAGCAACACUUCCACCUCCGGUGUAACUCGUAAAGCUAUGCUUUUACAAAAAAAAAGUUGGCCCAAGAAUCUUGAGCCAUGAAUUUUAAAAACUUAAAUAACUUCUAUAUGCCAUUUCUGCUACAGGAGACUGGUUCUUGUAACUGUGGCAAGGUUUUCUUCCUUUCCUUCCUAUCCUCCUCCUCUCCCUUCCUCCUUCCCUGCUUGCCUUCCUUCCUUCAUGGGAGUUCAGGGUUUAAGAGGUAGGCAACGUGUUAUUAUAGUAAGAGCACAGGUUUGAAGUUAGUAAAAUAUGUAAUGGAAUUUUGAGCAAUUUAAAUUUUUAACACUUGAGCUUUCUCAUUUGUAAAAUGAAGAUGGCAUCACUUGGAAAUUGUCAUAAAAAAUCACAAUGUUGAAUUAAGUGCUCAUCCACACAGGAGGUUCUUAGUGAACAUAAUGUUUCUCCUACCACAUCCUCCUUCACCUCUCUAGAGAGGUCUGGAUGUAGAGGAGCCACCAAAGGCCCAAUUUCCCCAGUGAAGGGUAGGUCAAUGUUCUUCAGCGAGUUGACCACUUCUAGGGGUUCAGAGGGUCAUGAGGUUAGACGCACCUCCCUGGGCUGCAGAGGCUCCAGAGAUGAGUGCAGCUGCCUGUAGCCACCUCUGUCGUGGCAACUAGGCCCAAGGAUGCACAAUGAACACCUUUUUCAUCUCCUUUGUCGCUGGUUUAUUUGAGAGUUAAUCUAUAACAUUUAAAAAUGCUUGGCACCCUUCUGUCAGUUUGCACAACCUUCUGAAUAUUGUGAAAAUGGCAGUAAUCAUAGCUGUUGAUUAUUAUUUGUCAAAUGCCCCCACUGACGUUAUGGCACACAACCCUACUUUAAUUUAUCCAAAGCCCUAUUUUACCAAGCCAGGGCAGAAUUCAAACCCAGACGUCCGACGCGAAUGCCUGACUUUUAACUACUUUGCGGUGUUUGUCCUCUUUAGGGUGAGUUCAGAAAUGGACACUUUCAGUAAAUGGAUUCAUGAUAGUUCUUUACCACUCCAGCACAAGUGGUCCAGCCGCUAGCCUCUUGCCUCUGCCCACUUCCGCUGAGCAGCUGGGGGGUGCCUGGUGUGCUGUGGGGAAGAGCGCCACCUUCCCACGCCUACUCUUGCUGAGGUUAAACAGCAUUUCAGUGCCGAAUAAAACGGCCACGAAGGGGAAAAAGGAGAACGCUUAAAUCGGCGGUAAAAUCGUUCUCUCUCCUUUUCCUUGCAGAUUGCAUAAUUUGAUGUCUAAUCAUCAGCAAGUGGAACAAAACCUGGAUUGAAUAGACGGUGACUCGAUCUCCGUACAGACUGAGGUCCAAAGGUCUGCGCUCACUUCUGGAACUUUCCUUUUGGGCCUUGACCGAACUCCUGUUAUUGUGUGCAGUAGCAGAGGCUGCGCUGCGUGGUUCAGUUUGUGCAAAGGCUAUUUAUUGUUUCUCAUUUACUGACCACUCGGGAGAAGCCUUUAGCAAUAGUUUUUCCCGACACAAACUUGAAUAAAGUCGACCCCUGCAGUUCUUCCUGAGGCUCUACAAGCUUCCUGGAUGCAGGAACCAUGUGCUGUUCUGACGACGCUCCGAAACCUAGUUCAGUGCCUGGCACUAGACAAUAAAAAAUUGCUUUCUGAAUGAAAGUAUAUGCUGGCAGGCGCAGGGGGUUUCAUGUCUUUCUCUGCCUUCUUAAUUCUAGCGCUCCUACGUCUUUGCAUAGGUACCUUCUUGCUCAGUUCCUGCAUCUUUCAAGCCCUUGAAGAGCUAGGUAAGAAAGGGCAUGAAAAUUCUGACAUAAUAAUUAGCAAGUGGCUUGUUAUUUGUCAAACGCCCCACUGAUGUUGUGGCAUAUACAACCUCACUUCUUUAAUUUGCCCAAAGUCAUAUUUUACCAAGCCAGGUCAGAAUUCAAACCCAGACAUCCGACACGGAGGGCUGACUUUUAAUUACUUUGCUAUUUUGUCUUAUAACAGAGGCUUAUAAGCUUAUAACCUCCAAGGGAUCCUCAGGCAUUAUGCUUCAUUUGAGUUCUUCCCUCCUGCGAGUCCUUCAGACCUCAGCGUUUGCAAUUAAAUUGGGAAACCUACUCUGAGUGCCUAAGAGACCAACUGAGUCAGAGCCUCUGUUUAUACAGGAGGCUCUGGGGGCGGGGAGGGGCGGCCAGUAGGAAUGUGUUGGAUAGGAGAAGCCAAGCCUGGGGCAAGCCCCCAUAGACAGACUCUGGACGCGCACUUGGAAAUGCUGUGUGUGAUGGCCAGACAUUGAUGUAGGUUUUGGCUUGCUUCAGGGUAAAAAGAGGACCCAAGAUGGACAGUCAGAAUGGGAGCUGAGGUCAUUUGGAGCCAGGCGCUGCUGCACGCCAUCCUCUCUGGCCUAGAAAGGAGAUACACCUUCGUUUACAGUCCACAAAGAGGAGGAAGAACACGGAGGAGACGCGAGGGCAGUAGAUGGAGUCUUCAUUCUUGAGUACGACAGGUCCCACUCUACAGCGGAUCACAGUAGUGUGCCCUGGGUGCCUUGGUGGCUGGGCCUAGUCUCUCCCCAGUCACAGUCCAUCCAAGCAGAAACAGGCCCUUGUCUAGGAAUUGGCUGGGAUUCCAAAGUCCUGAAAAAGGGCUGGAAGAGACCAUGCAAACUGGAAUGGUUUUACCAGCGCUUGCGAUAUUGAAAUUACUCAGCGCUAAGGGAGAAACCACUAGGUUUCUUAAGACUUGGUGUGUCUUCUUGGCAGACACACCAAGAAGAUUUGCGAACUCAGCUAUAGCUGCUGUAGGCUUAGAAACACGGCAAAAAUUGUUUCAGAAGUGAUUAAUCCCAUUUAUUUCCCUCAAAUACCACCCCCCUUCCUCAGAAGGGCCUCCGACAGGUGUUUAUUAUUAUUACUAUUAAUUUUAAAUGGAGUCUUUAGGUUGUUCCAACUUUCAGUAAUAACACCCUGAUGUGGCUAAGCUCUUUACAGUUUGCAUCAUUAUUGUUUUUGCAUCUCAAAGUUUUGGGAAGAAAUAAAUAGGCGGCAGUUUCUUUUGAAGCUUUUAAUACAUACGAUGCCUUUUUAAGGUUUCUUUCCCCUCCUCUCCUUCAGAAUACUUCUGCCCUGCUUCGGUAGUUUCGGGGUAUUGUGUGUGGGGAGGAACCUCUUGCAUUUAAAAAAAAAAAACCUGGAUUAAUACAUGUAAAUCUGUCUUUUAGAGGUCAGGAUACAGAAAAAAAGCAGGCAGUAAACUAAGCCAGAAUUCCUGCUUCUUUAAACCACCCUUCCUCCCAGGCUGAGACAACUUUUUUCCUAAAAAGACUGUAUUUCUAGAGAUGAAUUUGCAUCCUUUUAUAAGAAGUAACAUGUAUUGUUUAGCUUUGCCCGGCUUUUACAUAUGUUGUCAUAUGUAUUCCUCACAAUCUUCUGUGAAGUAGGUAUUAUUAUGCCUGACUCACAGAUGGGGAACCUGAAGCUCAGAGAGGUGUCCCACAUUCUCACGACAAAUUAGAGACAGAGGCUGAACCUAAACUCAUUACAAGGUCUUAACCAUUGUGCUGCAUGUAAAGAAUAUUUUGCGCCCUUGCAGGUUGGCUGUGUGGCUCCUCCCAGUCUCCUGAAGUAUUAUAAUAGAAGUGAGAAUUCUCUUAGAAGACCUUGAGGAUGGCGGGACUGGGGGCGGGGUAGGAGCGGCGAGUCUUGAGGGACCUGAGUACUGCGCCGGGUCAGUUAGGUGGAAAUGGAGUCAGGCGGAAAUGGAGUUAGGCACGUGUGGAGCCUGGGCCUGGGAUGGGGGCGGGGGUACCGGGGGGUGGUUGGAUGGUCUCCAGGAUGGCAAUCAGCCAGGGGAGCGAGAUGGAUCGCGUGAUGGGCGAACACUUUCUCAUCGCCUGCUGGUCAUAAAUAUUGUUGCUUUUCCUUGGUAACACCCCAACGCCCGAGGCGAGGCGGAGGCCCGCAGGGCGCCACCAUUGGGAGUUGAGGCCCUUUCUCUCUCCCGGAGGCCUGGGCUGGCGCCUGCCUUCGAAAGCGACCUCGAGAGAAACGCCCUGGAGUCAGGCAGGUCCCCACGGCUUUCAGGCCCCAGUUCUCCAGCCCCAGUGCAUGUUGGGAGCAUCCCCACCGCGCGGUGCACUCCGGGAGGCACUGACGCAUUUGGGCGCAGGGCUGGGCGACGAGAGCGGGUGCCCCGGAAACAAGCUCUGUUCAGAAAGCAGGUGGAGGACCUGUGUGAUCCUCUCCCCCGCCCUUCCUCAUCACUAAUCCAAAGUCGGUGUGGGUGGCCGCGGCUCCGAGAGCCUGGACGCCUACCCAAGGCCAGGCCCUGAGACAGGCUCCUCGCCUCGCCCUGGUGGGUUUGACCGCCGCCCUCCUCGCAUCCUUUUCCGUGGGAAACCCCAGGGCAGAGGCUUGGGUUUCACAUGGGUAACAUUCUUCUCCUGGAAUCAGAUCGGUCUUCCAGAGGAUAAGACCUUUCUUUCCUGAGAAGGAGAGCCUGAAGGAGACUCAAGGCCCAAGCCCUCCUUCCCUCAGCCGUAUCUACUGGUAAAUAGGUAGGUAAUUCUUGUCCAACACUUCAGAAGUCCCGCUGUGCACAUUCGAGCACCCCACAGAACGCUGUGAAAAUGAGAGGAAAAACCACAACAGAAGCCAGCAACAAACAACAAGGCCACGGGGGCAAGGCCUAACUAGGUCAGAACAGACAUGUGCCUGAGCUGUCCCGUGAGGUGGACAGGCUCCGGAUGCCCGAGUCGGCAAGAAAGGCUGGAGGGAGCGAUACGGCCGGGUGAGGCCGCUGUCGUUUCGGAGUGGCUUCGCCGCCUGCCUUCCUCGGCGCGGCGUCUAGGCGGGCAGGCAGUAGCCCUGGAGGGGCCAGGCGCUAGGGGCCUUGGGCCUGACCAUCACCCUGGAGGCCUGCGAUUUCAGCCUCUGGGAGGGCUUCCUCGGGGAUUCGAGUUUCUUCUACUUGGCUUUAGUUCCUGUGCCAGCCAUAGCCCUUGGUCCUUAGAACUUUUAAUACUAUGGUGUAAUGCUUGGGCAAAUACAUGUAACUGACCACGCACGAGUAUACAGCCCUUUUAAAAGGUAAAAGGAGUGUGUGUGUGUGUGUGUAUGUGUGUGUGUGUGUGUGUCUACCUACGCGCGCGCCUGUGAGAUUCUUCUGGGCUGAGAAUGUUUUCCCUUCCAAAUGAUGGAUAGAAGGCCUUAGAUCCUCUGAAUUUCUUAGGUUAAAUCAAGGACUUAUUUCCUUUUCCUAUGAUUAGUUUCUUUUAACAUGUAUUAAUAAUUAUAUCAUUAAUUUUGGCCACCCUCAUAGAAGUUUAAUGCCAAUAUAUAAGAGAAUGCAAAAGGGAAAAUAUUUGUAUGCCAAGUUUAGUCUGGAAAAAUAUCAGUAGCAUUUCUUAUUUGACAAAGACAUGCACUUAAAUUUUUUUUUUCCCAGUUGGCAAGGGUAUUGUUUUUAAAUGUAUAUUCCAUGAUUAUUGUUUCUGUUUGGUACUUUGGUCAUUUGGAACACAUCUGUUUCUGAUAUUGUUCCUGUGUUAAGCACACACUGUUGUGUUAGCAAGAUUUUACACCAUCUAAGAAAAUUCUUGCCAGUGCUAUUUGAUGCCCUGUUGAACUUUAGCCAAACUUCAUUUUAUAAUGUUCUCUCAGUCCUGAGCAUAUAUAAUAUAUUUUAAUGAAAUUACGCUUCUGUAUUGACUGGCAGACAUCAGAAACACAUUCACAUAGGUCAAAAGCAGUUGAGCUAAGUGUUGGGUGGGAGGAACUAUUAAAACAGUACAGGAAAAAUAUUUGGAAACAAAACAAAACUUUAAAAUAAAAUAACCCAAAUAAACAAUUCUCUCUCUCUCUCUCUCUCUCACACACACACACACACACACGCACACAGAACUUGGAUGUGGCUAUUGGGAGUUAAUGUAUAAUUCUGAUAAUUUGUGUAUUUCUUCAUUAUAUUAAACUUGGAAUUUAUAUUUUUGACAUUAUUCCAAAGGUGUAAUAAUUGACUUUUAAAAUAGAAUAACAUUGUAAUGGGAUCAUAUUAAGCAUAUAUUAAAUGUAACACAAAUAAGCACUGAGUCUACCUAAAGUGGUAUUUUUUUUUAAUUUUGUGGCUACUCAGGGGUUUUGCAUUAUAUUAUCAAAAGCUAACAACCUUAAGGCCAUUUGUGGUAAUUCAAAAAAUGUUCAAGCAUCUAUGCUUGAUGGCUAAGCUUAUAUCUAACAGUGGAAUAACUGCAAGGCAGGAAUUGGCUUGAAAAAGCAAAUAUUGGCUGUGUAUUUCAAAUAUCUUUUCUAGAAUGGAACACUUUGGUUGAUAGAUUGACCUAUUUUGUUUACAUCCAAUAUGUGUACCCCAGUAUAAAACUUAAAAAAUGGCAAUUUCUCAUGAUAUUUUAGUUAUAAGUCUAGAAAUAUCAACCUUGACAUUUGGUUUAAUAAGCUUCUGCCACUUAUUCCUAGAUCAGUAUUUUUCAAUUGACAAAUAAGUUUUCUUUGCGAUCUACCAAAACCAGGUUGUCACAUUCUUUUAGUUGUUACCUGGACAGACUGCUUUUAUUGCUCAUUAAUCAGAUGCUGUGGUUAAGGUGUGUCUAUUAAAUAACUACUUAGGGAUGUAUCGUCAUUCUGUUUGUUUAUUUAAGAAAACAAAUUUUUGUUUUGGUGUAAUUUCUAAAUAAAAUAUAUUCAUGGUAAUGUGGAUAAUUGACAUUAUUUAUACAAAUCAUUUGGAAUUGAGUACCUUGUUAACUGUGUAAUAAGUAUGGUUAUAAAAAGAGAAUGAGUAUCAUAACAUUUUUGCCUAUAUACACUUUUAAAUAUUUAUCAGGAUCUACAUUUUUCUUAAACUGUUAAUUUGGAUGUGUUGAAAUGUAGCCUAUAAAUUUCUUUUUAAGUAAUUGUUACUAAAAAACCUUAUGGAUCUUCACAUGUCUGGUUCCAAUUAAUCUGCUUAGACUAAUGGAUAAAAUAAUAAACCUGAUUUAGUCAAUCUGGACUUCUAUAUGAGUUUUCUAUGUGCCUCUUUAAGGUCUAAUGCCUUCUCCUACACAUAUUUAGUUCUUAGUUAUACUCUUAUAAAACGUGGGAUUGGAAGAAUAAUUAAUUUGAUUCAUUUUCUUAAAAAAAUUUUGCAGUUACAUCAGUACAAAAAGGCAUCUUCAAAUGAGUGUCAAUGAUUAUCAAAAGAAAACUAUAUACAUCUUUGUGAAUUUAAUUAAUCAAGUAUGUAUUGAGCACCUACUAUGUACCAGGAACUGGGGAUACAAAGAAUAAGACAUGGGUGGUCCUUGUUCUCAGAAAAUUCUCAAUCUUUUAAGGAGACUGACAAAAAUACAACUAGCUCAUCCCUGUAAUUCUUUAAUGAUUUUUAUCUACCCCCUGGACUUUGAAUUAGUAAAGUAUCAGAUGAUCCCAAUACUUUGUGUAUGUUUUAAAAAUCUUAAAGGCAU
rnacentral:lncRNA from 10 species